CAGCCAGAGGAAGUGUUUUGGUGCUUGCUCUUGAAAGGCUGCAACACCUGAGAGAUGCCUGGAGGCUUUUGGGAUCUUCAUGUGUUAGCUAUGGGAGUAGAUGAAAUAACCAAUGGAUAUCUAGCUCCUGUUCUAACUCUCUUUCCACUCUCAGCUGAAAAGGGGUGGUUUGGUGCAAAACCAGCCCUUGAAAGGUGAAAGCAGCUUCUGGAUGGUGGCAAGUCCUGGGUGGUGGUGGCAGCUCUCUUGCAUUUCUCACAAGGAGUCCUGGCUGCUGGCAGGGGUUGGCACAAGGACCGUGUUCACAUUUUUCACUCUGGGCUGCCCAGGAGGUUUGAAGUCAAUAUGCACACACCUGAAAGACAAAUGUGUCCCACCCGGGCCUGUUUGGCACAACAGUGACCCCUAAAGGCUCCUUAGAUUAAUGGUGUCUCCAGAGUUAGCUGGCUUGAAUUCUUAUUUAAAGGAAUUAGCCCAGUCCGUGUUUUCAUUGCUGAGGGGGCACAGGAUAAUGCUGCUAUCAGCUUCGUUAUUUACUUCAUCUCUGGCUCACUCAGCAGCUGCUUCCUUGAAUCAACAUGUCCCUACCAAAUUAUGGAAUUUAUCCUAGGAAACUUUCCAGAUCUCACCUAAGAGGAAAAAUUUUAAAAGCAGCAGCUCCUUCUCUUCAUCCUGAUGGCAGACCAGCAAAGACAAAUACUGGGAACACUGGUAGCAGUGGGCAACAUUUCUGCUGACUUGUUUUGGUAUCUGCUGCAGGGAUACUGGGAAAGUGGAAUUUUAGUGGUGCUGAAUGACACAUGAAAAGAGGUAGCUCGAGUUGCAUCCAGCUGAAAUUGAGGUCUUCAGACUGGUGCAGCUGCAAACACCCAUUUAAACCUUCAACUAAGUUUGAGAAUGAAGAAAAAUUGCGGAAGUCGGGCAGUUUGGUGGAAGAGAAGCAUCAGGAGUUCAAUGCGAAGACGGGAUGAUUCAUGAGGCCAAGCUGGUGGAAGGGUGAAGGAGGACGAAUGCAGAAAACUUGGAGGGCCCUCUCUCUGGUGACCUUGGCAGCAAAAGGGAAAAAAAAUACCAGAAAAUGAAAGUGACUGUCAACUCCCAACAGGGAUGGAUCACACCAUAAAUCAAGCAUAGCCCUGAGAGAGAAGAGAGGGGCUCAGGGUGGGGGGCGAGCGCGGAGCGGAAACCGUUGGGUGAUUUAACUCUUUGAACCUUGGAUGCCUUUUAUUCGUAGUCGAGCGAGUUGGUAAAACAUGUGUGAAUCCCUUCCCUUUGCGGUGGUUUACAUAAAAGUGUGUCAGGGGCAGAUAGAUGGUGAAACAUUGCUGUCCAUUGGCUGGGAUUUAGAGUACAGUACCAAUAAGUAUUUCCUUCAGCCCAGGAAAAGAGAAAAAUGAGAGACGGAGGCUCCUGUGACACAUAACUAAAUCAGUUGGUUGGGAGGCCUAAUCCGGGAGAGACUUUUGGGUGAUUUGCAGGGGAAAAAAAUAUAGAUUUAAGGACAUUAGUAUUUCUAUUACUGAAAUAAUCUAUUGAUCCAAACAGCAAGCAAAAAAAAAAAUUACUCCUUUAAGCCUGGAAUACAAAGGAAACGGAAGGUCUCUUGGCUUUUUUUAACUUUUAAUAUUUGUUUAGUUCUUGAAAUCUGUUCUCUGACAGAAGUGAAGGAGGUGACUACCACAGAGGGGGAGGUGACUGCCACAGAGGGGCUUGUAACUGUCAUCUGACAGGGCUGGAAGGGGAUUUGCAGGAAAUGUGAAUGUUACCUCUCUCAGUCAGAAUUAAAACAGUGUCUGAGCACUUUAUUUGCUAAAGAGAGGCACAGAGUAUUCCUUCCUGCUUUUCACAGGGGCUAUUUUUUUUUUACCCUUUGUCCUGAUACAUUUUCUUACAUUUUAAGGCUUUUCCCCCCCCUUUUUUUCCCAUCACAAUGGUUUUUUUGAGACCCAAAUGGAAGUGUUUUCACACCAUCCAUGAGCAGUGAGCACCUUUCAUUUCCAGCUGUAAAAAAAAGACUGACAGGAGAGCAUCUGUAGUCCUGCUGUGGUGGGAGGCAAACCCUGUGCUCAUCCACAGAUUUCCGUGAAGACACAGUGCAGCCUGUUCUGAUCCAUACUGCCAGGAAAGGUCGCUAUGGUUGUUGCAUUUGACUUCUGCCUUUCUGAAUAUUGAGGGGUGGCAGAAAUAACAGUGCUAGAGGCAUUAGAAAUACACCUUGGGAAUUCCAUGCUGGAAUGUUCCAUGCUGGGGCUCCUGCUGUGGUCCAGAGACUGGGGCCACAUUUUUGGAAGCAGCACCAGGGAGUAGCUGUUGUGUUUCCACACCCCUUAUGGUGGCCUUUACCACGGGUAUGGCACAGUUUUCCAUCCCCUGGGGAGAAGGCAAAGGAGGGAGCUGGCUUCCAAGCUCUUAAGGCUUGAUGGUGGUGGGAAGAUGCAAAGAAAUGUGAAUGGUGGGUUGAGGGAGAGGGGCUGUGUGCUGUGCUGAAUAGCUCCCAUUUGCAAAGAGGAGGAGAUUCCAGGAUCUGUGGCACUACACUGUAUUAGGCCAGUGAAAGUCAGGCUUCCUUGUACCUGGGGCAUCCUUUGGCCCACCUUUGUGUGGAGUGAGCCUAAAAAUUAACAUAAUUGUUCUUUCUCGACUUCAUUUUGAACCAACUUGCUGCUCUGUCUUGAGGCAUUUUCCUGCCUGGUGCUGGCCAGAAGAGGGGAUGGUGUCUGGCACUGUGCAGUAAUGGGGCACUGGGCAUGGGCUGUCACCUCCACCAGCACUCCCAAGGUCACCUCUGCACAGGAAGCCAUCACAGACUGGAUUUUGGGAGUAGCAUUAGCUCUAAAUUAGUAAGUAAGAAACUGCUUGCUGUGAUUUCCCAACACAGAGGUCGCAUGACAAGGUAGUGGCACUCUGGGAGAUGCUCCCAAGGAUGUGGGUGCAAAGAAAACAUCCAGAGAAUUCAGAGGGCUCCUGGAAUUCUGUUAGCAGGUUGCUUCUGAAAGGUAAAUCAGCUACCAGGAGGAGAGCAGAUAAGGGGCAGUGUGGGAUUCACAAAACAUGGCACAGUAUGUAGAGAUUCUUACAUGCCUGGCAGUUCACUUCUGGUACUGCUUUUUUUUAAUCUAAAUAUAGGGCUCAUCUCAAAGCCUCACAUGAGAAGUUGCAGAUCUAAUCAAGGUCAGAAGAACAUUAAAAAAAAUUGGAACAGGAAAAGGCCAUCAGGACCAAUGUUUCUGUUCCUUUUUUCCUCCUGUCUUAGCUCUGGAUCUUGGCUCUAAUUGCCAUUUAUUUUUUAUUGCUCUCACUAUACUUCUCAUAUAAUGUUUAUAUUAAUGGGCAGGGGGAGGGGGGAAGUGAAGAAACACCAGGAAAUGGAGUGCAAUUGGAGUAUGUGAGAUGUGGCUUUUGUCUUCUUUAUCACUGUUUUCUUGUAGUACUUCCAGCUCAGAUAUUAAUUUAUCAUUGAGAGUGCUGCAGAAGUGUGGUCCCUUGUAUUUUAUUGAAGGCUUGAUCUAAAUUCCAGAUGGUCACCAUGUGAUCAAACCAGCCCUGGGCAAAUAGGAUAUUUCUUUGUGUCUAUAUUUGAUUUCUUUGCCAAAUUCAUACCUAUCUAAUCUUCUGCCCAUGAGCCUGCAUUCAUUCAUUCAUUCUUUAAAGAAGUGUGCAACAGCUCCACCUCCUCAAGGGUUAGAGACAAUGAGGGUGAUUGCAAAUAUUCCCCAUCUAAAUGCAGUUAAAAUGUGAUGCUGUUGCAGACAAAUAAUAGCUUUUCACGUCACAAAAACGUCUAGCUGAAGUUUGCAACAGACAAAUAAUUCCUCAAAGAAUGAAGGGUUCUCAGAAAAUAUGCAGUGGGGGACGUGGGUGUAUUGACACGUUGCUGCUGCAAGGAAGUGCUUUGAUUUUGGGGAUGUGAAAUGCUCUGAAAUACUACUCAGGAAAAUCCACAGAGCCCUUCUGCUUGUGGAGUCCCUGCUUUACUGUAGGAGUUUAAUAGAUGUGAAUGAGAGACUGUCUGUACCAAGCAGGUUCUUUCUUAAAAAGAAAGGCAAAUUUCAGAUUAUAACAAAAUAUAUUUCAGAACACAGAAGUAACAAUAUAAAAACCUUCUUAAUCAUGAUAUGAUUAAAGGAUUUUUAAAAUCUGCCUUGUAGUCACAUUUCCAUUUCCUGAUAAAUUCCAUACUUUCUUUCAAAUCACUUCUCAUCAUAAUAAUACGAACUGUAAAAAAUCCUUCCAUUUCUGCAGCCUGCUAAAAAAAAUAAAAAAUGGGGGUGGAAAGGAGAGAAUUAAGAAGGCUCCAAGUUUUAUCAUUCUGUUCAUAAAGCAGCACAGCAACCAUAACUGCAGCACAGAAAAGAAACAGAUACUGUAAUGUCUGAGGUAUUCUGUGCCAUAAACUCCCAUAAUAGAAACAGAUGGCAAAAACGCGUUGGAAGUAGGGGAAGUACUGUACAUGCAGCUCUACCCUAACAUAUGAGGAGAUUCAGGCCUGACACGUAAAGGAAUACGUCUGGAGCUCUGCCAGCGCUACUGUGUGCUGCAGCAGUUGGUGCUGGAGAGGAGGGAACCUGCGAUUUUGGGCUUGGGGCUCCGUGGCAGCUCAGCAGCAGGACAUCUUCCUGUG